ACGAGCAAACAAACAACAACAAAAAAGCAUAGAGAUAUUUUCAGGAAGAUAACCUUGUACAUAUAAGACAAAAACAGGGUAUCAAAAUGAUGAAUCCUAUCUUCUUUUCCUCAUCAAUUCCCCUCUGGAGGCCCCCACAAGUAACUUCACAGAACCAAAGACAGCCUGAGUUUGGAAGGGACUUCUGGAGGUCACCUGGCCCAUCUCUCCAAUUGAUGUAAUCAUUUCUGGAUUCCAGAAAAAAAUUCAAUACUGCUGCUCUCAGUAUCCAUCUGGACAGAACAUCCAGCAUACAGAUAGCAAAGUACAUAAUACAAUGGGUGAGCAAUUUCCUGAAGAGUCACAUUCAAAAGGUUAUGGCAAGUGAGAAUACAUCAUGCUGAUGGUCAGUCACCAGUGGGGUUCCUCAGGGCCCUGUUUUAGGGCCAGUUCUCUUCAAUGUUUUGGGAGAGAGAAGAGGAGAAGAAGAGGCAGAGGGAGAGGGAUUGCUGUGAUGCGGCUGUGGUGCCUCUGACAGCAGAGAGGAUGAGUCACAGCGGGGGAGCUGUCAUCAGGGCCAGCAGCAGGCAGCGCCACCACACUGUGGCCUGGGCCAUCGGUGAAUGCAGCUCGCACCUCCUGCAGGCCAUGGCUCGCCUGAUCUUCCUCGCCCUGGCUGUGCUGGGCAUUGCCCAGAAGCCAUGGUUCGUGGAUGAUCACAUGGAUAUGGAAGCGAACGAGCAAAUGCAGCAGCAUGCAGAGCAGCUGACUGAAGGCAUGGCUCAGCUGCUGCAUGAGAUGGAGGAGAGGAGCCAGGAGCAGAGCGGGAUCCCAGGUGGCAUCGGUGUCUCUGUCGUCUUCUACACCAUCCUUAUCCUUCUUCUUCCUUGUGGAGCUGCCCUGCUUGCUGCUGCUGCCUGGCCCACGGCUCCUUUUCCUGAGCCACCGGCAGAGCCCAAGGAGCAGGACAAGGAGGUCAGUAAAGGUCCAGAGCUGCCACUGCUGCAAGGCAGUGAAGAGCAGGGCUCCCAGGGCCACCCCGCUCUGCUCCUGGCUCCUCUCCUCCAUGUCGUGCAGCAGCCGAGCCAUGCCUUCAAUCAGCUGCUCCGCAUGCUGCUGCAUUCUCUCAUUUACAUCUGCAUCCAUGUGAUCUUCCGCCAACCACGGCUUCUGGGAUAUUCUAUUCUGUUAUGAUUUUACUGAAACAUUUUUAAGGGUUUUACCACUGCUGUUCCUUCCUUUCUAAAUUCUGAGUGUGCUCCUGGCUCCCAAAUUCACAUACUAUUCCUCAAAGACUGCAUUUUCAAGCUUACUGGCACAAGCCAUAUUUUAAAGCUUCUUAAUAAGAAAUUAAUUUCUCUGCUCUCUCUACUAUUCCAUAUUGAAGGGCAUCAUUAUGUUACAGUUUCACAUGCAGUGAUCUUUAAAAAAAUAAUCACAAUGAUAUGCUAGAUCAGUCUGGCAUCUCUGAAAGAUGUUGCCUGGUGUCAGUAGAGGAGGAACCAUAAGCAGCUGAAGGGCUUGUUCCGGCACAGACAUUGAGAUGCAGUUCAUGAAGGAUGGAGUUUAGCUGUUGAAGAGAAACUGUUGGAGCAAGUAAAAUGAUGAUGUGGCAUCAGAGCUGAAGCAGCUGCAGAUGGGAUAAUCCAAGAAGACAAUACAUAUGCUGAGGCAGGAGCAGUUGUCAAUAGGGACAGCUUGUCUGGUUAUUUGGAUGCCAAUUCUAUAGCAUGUAUUUGCUUGUGUACUGCGUCAAUGAAGACAGUCACUUGACAGUCAGGCAGCUUAUUUGGGAAGUUCAGUGUUACCUGUCUUAAUAAUUUGUUAGGAGAAAGAGAUAAAAUUCUGCAGGCAAUGUGAACUGAAGAAAAACAAAACCAAACAAACCAACCAACUAAACAAACAAAAAAAAAUGCACAAGAAACAAUGUCAAACUAACCAUAUUUUCAAAUUUCUUUUGAAAUUUGGGUUGCCAAACACAGGUCUUGUUAAAAUAAAUCCAGACAACUAGAUAUGACUCCCUCUCCC
ensembl:lncRNA